GACGAAGGAUGCAAGCGUUAUCCGGAUUCAUUGGGUUUAAAGGGAGCGUAGGCGGCCUUGUAAGUCAGUGGUGAAAUCUCUCGGCUUAACCGAGAAAUUGCCAUUGAUACUGCAGGGCUUGAGUACAGUUGCCGUUGGCGGAAUAUGACAUGUAGUGGUGAAAUACAUAGAGAUGUCAUAGAACACCGAUCGCGAAGGCAGCUAACGAAGCUGUAACUGACGCUGAGGCUCGAAAGUGCGGGGAUCAAACAGG
rnacentral:rRNA from 1 species